rnacentral:rRNA from 1 species
AUUGAACGCUGGCGGAAUGCUUUACACAUGCAAGUCGAACGGUAGAGGGGGCAACCCCUCGAGAGUGGCGAACGGGUGAGUAAUAUAUCGGAACGUGCCCAGUCGUGGGGGAUAACGUAGCGAAAGUUACGCUAAUACCGCAUACGAUCUAAGGAUGAAAGCGGGGGAUCGAAAGACCUCGCGCGAUUGGAGCGGCCGAUAUCAGAUUAGGUAGUUGGUGGGGUAAAGGCUCACCAAGCCAACGAUCUGUAGCUGGUCUGAGAGGACGACCAGCCACACUGGAACUGAGACACGGUCCAGACUCCUACGGGAGGCAGCAGUGGGGAAUUUUGGACAAUGGACGCAAGUCUGAUCCAGCCAUUCCGCGUGCAGGAUGAAGGCCCCCGGGUUGUAAACUGCUUUUGUACGGAACGAAAAGGUCUCUCUUAAUACGGGGGACUCAUGACGGUACCGUAAGAAUAAGCACCGGCUAACUACGUACCAGCCGCCGCGGUAA